ACGCUGGCGGCGUGCCUAAUACAUGCAAGUAGAACGCUGAAGCUUGGUGCUUGCACCGAGCGGAUGAGUUGCGAACGGGUGAGUAACGCGUAGGUAACCUGCCUCUUAGCGGGGGAUAACUAUUGGAAACGAUAGCUAAUACCGCAUAAAAGUCGAUAUCGCAUGAUAUUGAUUUGAAAGGUGCAAUUGCAUCACUAAGAGAUGGACCUGCGUUGUAUUAGCUAGUUGGUGAGGUAACGGCUCACCAAGGCGACGAUACAUAGCCGACCUGAGAGGGUGAUCGGCCACACUGGGACUGAGACACGGCCCAGACUCCUACGGGAGGCAGCAGUAGGGAAUCUUCGGCAAUGGGGGCAACCCUGACCGAGCAACGCCGCGUGAGUGAAGAAGGUUUUCGGAUCGUAAAGCUCUGUUGUAAGAGAAGAACGAGUGUGAGAGUGGAAAGUUCACACUGUGACGGUAACUUACCAGAAAGGGACGGCUAACUACGUGCCAGCAGCCGCGGUAAUACGUAGGUCCCGAGCGUUAUCCGGAUUUAUUGGGCGUAAAGCGAGCGCAGGCGGUUAGAUAAGUCUGAAGUUAAAGGCUGUGGCUUAACCAUAGUACGCUUUGGAAACUGUUUAACUUGAGUGCAGAAGGGGAGAGUGGAAUUCCAUGUGUAGCGGUGAAAUGCGUAGAUAUAUGGAGGAACACCGGUGGCGAAAGCGGCUCUCUGGUCUGUAACUGACGCUGAGGCUCGAAAGCGUGGGGAGCAAACAGGAUUAGAUACCCUGGUAGUCCACGCCGUAAACGAUGAGUGCUAGGUGUUGGGUCCUUUCCGGGACUCAGUGCCGCAGCUAACGCAUUAAGCACUCCGCCUGGGGAGUACGACCGCAAGGUUGAAACUCAAAGGAAUUGACGGGGGCCCGCACAAGCGGUGG
rnacentral:rRNA from 1 species